UACGGAGGGUGCGAGCGUUGUCCGGAAUCACUGGGCGUAAAGGGCGCGUAGGCGGCGCGGGAAGUCCGUGGUGAAAGCCCGAGGCUCAACUUCGGGUCGGCCAUGGAUACUCCUGGGCUUGAGCACUGUAGAGGCAGGUGGAAUUCCGGGUGUAGCGGUGGAAUGCGUAGAGAUCCGGAAGAACACCGGUGGCGAAGGCGGCCUGCUGGGCAGUAGCCGCAAGGCUUGAAAGCUGACGCUGAGGCGCGACAGCGUGGGGAGCAAACAGG
rnacentral:rRNA from 1 species